UAGAGGUGUCAGAAAAGUUACCACA
rnacentral:misc_RNA from 1 species